rnacentral:rRNA from 1 species
UACGUAGGGGGGCAAGCGUUGUCCGGAUUUAUUGGGCGUAAAGAGCGUGUAGGCGGCCAGACAGGUCCGUUGUGAAAACUCGAGGCUCAACCUCGAGAUGUCGAUGGAAACCGUCUGGCUAGAGUCCGGAAGAGGAGUGUGGAAUUCCUGGUGUAGCGGUGAAAUGCGCAGAUAUCAGGAAGAACACCUAUGGCGAAGGCAGCACCCCUGGGACGGUACUGACGCUGAGACGCGAAAGCGUGGGGAGCGAACAGG